rnacentral:lncRNA from 1 species
GCAGAGUCGGGGCCCAAGUAGCAGGUGCUGUAAAUCAGAAAAGCUCUGAAUAUUUGAUUGGAGGACAAGAUGAGGCCACCCCCCACUAAAAAAAAAAAAAAAAAAAAGUGAAUUACUUUGUGCAUAACUGCAGCAGAGCAGAAUUACAAAUGCCUUUUCAAAACUGUGAAGAGGGAGAUUCUGAAAAUGUUUCAGCAAAUAGAGUCCAGUUAAUGAGAAUUACUAGCAUGGGAACCAUAAUUAUUACUUUUAACUCAGGCAUCGUGUUAUUGAUCUCCUAUUUCUGGUGGGACAUUUAUAAUUUUAGAAAGGUGACUUCGUUUUUAGUCACUAAAAACAUGUUAAUGUGAAAUGCUAAUAAAAAUGACACAUUUUUAUUAACAUUCGGAGAAGAGGAGAACAAAGUAUAAUGGAGAAAGUAAAAAAAUGACUUUAAAACAUCCAGAAACAACAAUUGUUAGAUUUCAGUCAACACCACUGUAUAUAUGUCUCUGUCAUCUAGCUUCACUGUGACUGGAAAGAUAGAUGAAGAGUCAGGGCUGAUUUUAGAAAGCUGUGAUAAUGGUACUCUUGGAAACAUUAAUUUUGUUUAAAUGUAAUCUGAAGAAAAACGAAUGCAAAAUGGAGGAAAUCGCUCCACUGGAUAAGUGUUUCUUCUGCACAAAAUAUAUUAUUUCCUGAAAGAUUCUCUUAAGAUUAAGAAAGAAUAUUUUUAAAAAGAUGAGAUUCAAGUCAUUGUUCUAAAUGUCGUAUUUCAAUUAUAAGUAGCGGACAGUCAACCCCUUUCUCUGAAAGACGAGGAGAUCGGUAUACUUCCUUUUCUUCUGUUUCUUUCCUUUGCCGUGCCUCCUAGUUUUUGUUACUUUUUUAAAAUUAUUUUUUUCGUGCUGAGGUGUAUAACAACGUCAGAGUGUUUGCAUUGUAUUUCUGUACUUAAAAGACCGUAAUGACUCCCAGUCGCUCCCUCACGGCUUCUCUAUGCCGAAUUCAUUAUUUGGAUUUAUCUCUUGGUUGAUUGAAUUUCAUUAUCAAGUAAUUGUUCCCCGUGGAAGGACUCAUCGUUACCUGAGGUUCUACGUCCAUGAGAACACCUGCCUGCAAACGUCACCGUAGACAAGUCUGUGCCUCCGCUUCCCCUUUGAGUGACUUGCUCGCUCCUCUGCUGCUUGAUCACUUCUUCAUCUUUGAAUUUAGCCACACCACCGGGCUGUGCCUUGGACUCCGCUGAUUAUUCCUUCAUUUUCAGAGACAUUUUUUCCUGUUAGCUCUUUGAAUUACUUCCACCCCCCACCCUUUUCUGGCGGGGGGCCUCUAAUUUAGGAAUACCAGUCGUCCUCCAUAGAUUAUUUUGUGCUUCUUCUCACCUAUUUUUUUAUGUAUUUACUCUAUGCGAUCUUAAACUCUAUCAAUUCUGUAGCCAUUUCUACUUUAUUAGUUUUACGAUAUCGUUAUCUUGAUCCAUAACUCGUUUCUUUAACUGGGCAAUCUCCUUUUCUAAUUUUAGUCUGUUUUUUUAUCAUUUGGCUUUGAGCUUUUGUACUAUUGAAUUCUCCCAGGAAUGAAUCCAUUUGGAUACUUUUCUUCUGUUUCUUGGGCUGUAUUUUCUUCCCUACUGAGUUCUUUUUCUAUUUCUUUUCAUUCUAUGUUUCUGAAUCUCCUUCUUAUUUUCGUAUAGUUGGUAGUGAGUUUGCGUAUUUGGCCAACUGCUCGUUUCUUUCCGUUGUGGAUGCUCUUGACAAAGACAGCUCUGUGCAGAUCUCCUGUUUUCUGAUGUGCAGUGGAUGGCUCCUCAUAGACUCUAUGCUGACUUUGCCUGAGCCACAAUUGGGAGUGCUGGGUCACCCAUCCCCUCUGUACCUUUCUGUACCUGGGGGAAGAGGAAAGCUCAUCUGGGUCUGUGCACAGGCUUUGUUUUUGUGUUUUGUUUUUAAAGGUUUUUAUUGAUUUAUUUGAGAGAGAGAGAGCAUGAGAGCAGAAGCAAAAGGCCAGGUAGAGGGAGAGGGAGAAGCAGACUCCCCACUGAGCAGGGAGUCUGAUGCAGGGCUUGAUCCUAGGACCCUGAGAUCAUGACCUGAGCUGAAGGCAGAUGCUUAACCGACUGAGCCACUCAAGCACCCCUGUGCACACUCUUUGAGGGAGACACUAUGUCUGCUCUCUGUCUAGGACUUUGUAAAAUGCUUCCAGCCAGGGCUGGUCUUCCUCCAGCUUGGGGUGGGAGCAGGGGGUAAAGCCUUGGCAUUUGAAUUGUUUCCUUGCUUCAGAAUAGAGCCCUGCAGCUUAUCUUUCUGUAAGGCUGUUAGCCCUGAAAAAGAUGAUAUUUUUUAAAAAGAUCCUUUUAAUUUGUUCUUUUCCCACCCUCCAGAUGAGGGGUUCCAGAAGGAAUUCUCAGAACCCUAACUCACCAGUUGUACCCGACCAGCCCUGCAGACCUGUCUGGACCGCCUGUCUCACACCUAACCCCUCUGCACACUGCUGUCCCCCUUGCCAGCCACCCCUCCUGCAGGCCUGCUUCUGGUCCCAUGUCUGCCUCAUGUUCUCUUCUGACUUGAGGCCUUCCAGGUGCUGAUCUCUCUGCCUGGCUCACUCUUCCCCAUCCUCCCCCUCAUUCCCCAAGUCACAACUCAGCUCAAAUGUCUCAACUUUGAGGAGCCCCCACAGGUCCCUCACACAAGGCGUCUGCUAUUUGCACCGCUCUGCUCUCCCUGAUGAAAUAUCUCUUCUUCUCCAAGUUACGGUGUGCAGUCACUUUCCUGGGACUUGCCCUGGAUGGCUGAGUCUGGAAGCAGGCUGGUUUCCAGGGCUGUUGAUUCCAGCUACCCGUUCUCCCUGCGUGACUCUCUCAGCCUCCACUUUUUUCCAGCUGUAUUGUAGAAAUUUAAUCCCAGGUGCCCUGGGAUUUGAGGAAAAACUGACUUUUUCUUUUUUUUUUCUUUUAAUUUUUUUUAAAGGUCAUAUUUUAAAUGAGCUCAAUGUUGGGACCUAGAAUGUGACGCUGGGGCUGUAGAAGCCUGUGAUUUAUAGUGCCAAGACACCAGCCCAGCAUGUAAGGGGGCAGUCCGGGGAGCAAUGGGCUGCCCUGGGAUGAAAAUGAAUGCCUGAGAUCAUGCUCACCUGGCGCUGUAGGAAUCACUCACUUCAGGCUGCAUGCCUAUGAGGAUGUGGUGAUGCCUCUGGGACAAGCAUCCCCAAGCAGGUGACAACUGAUACGCGCUCCAGACUUCCCUCUGGUCCCAGGGCUACACUACCAAGCUUCUGGUCAGUGUGGUGAAAGCAAGCUGUUUGUGUUCUUGUUUCCUGAAACAGAGGGAUUAAAGCAAGACUAACAUCCCACCAGUAUUGACUGAGCGUCUCCUAUGUGCCAGGCACUGCUGUCAGCAUUUGAACACAAGCAAAAAAAAAAAAAAAAAAAAAAAAAAA